rnacentral:rRNA from 1 species
UGGCCGGAAGGGUGAGUAAGGCGACGGUAAUCAACCCCAUGGUUGGGUAUAGCCGCGGGAAACUGCGGGUAAUCCCCAGCGACGUCCGGAUCGGGCAUCCGAAUCGGACCAAAGUCCUGGCGCCGUGGGACGAGCCGUCGUGGUAUUAGGUCGUUGGCGGGGUAAUGGCCCACCAAGCCUAUGAUGCCUACCGGGCGUGCGAGCGUGGCCCGGCACACUGGGACUGAGACACUGCCCAGACUCCUACGGGAGGCUGCAGUCGAGAAUCUUCGGCAAUGGGCGCAAGCCUGACCGAGCGACGCCGCGUGGAGGAUGAAGGCCUUCGGGUUGUAAACUCCUGUCGAGGGGGAAGAAGGUCGGGUAACCGGCUUGACCGAUCCCUGGAGGAAGCACGGGCUAUGUUCGUG